CACCUGCAGCAUAUGGAAGUUCCCAGGCUAGGGGUUGAAUCAGAACUGCAGCUCCCAGCCUAUACCCCAGCCACAGCAAUGCCAGAUCUGAGCUGUGUCUGGGACCUGCACCACAGCUCACAGCAACACCAGAUCCUUAAGCCACUGAGCAAGGCCAGGGAUCGAACCUACAUCCUCAUGAAUACUAGUCAGAUUCGUUACCACUGAGCCACAACAGGAACUCCUAUUUGUGAUUCUUACUGAGGUGAAAAAAGGGGUUUGUGCCUUAGAGAAAUAUUUUCAGUAGCAUGGACAACUAAAAAAAAAAAAAAAAGGCAUGCUGGUUAACUUUCAGAAAACUGUUAGCCAGAAAUGCAUAGUUCUUCAAGAAUUCAAGUUCAGAUCCCCAAGUCAGGCCAGCUGUGUGGGUGGUCACAAGGGGAUUUCACAGGGUUAGAGGGUGCCUAUACCUACUGUGAGCUGUUUUCUGUUUUUCUGAAGAUUCAGGCCUGGAGUUCCCAUCGUGGCUCAGCAGAAACAAAGCCAACUAGGAACCAUGAGGUUGCAGGUUCGAUCCUUGGCCUCACUCUGUGGGUUAAGAAUCCGGUGUUGCCACGAGCUGUGGUGCAGAUUGCAGAUGUGGCUUGGAUCCUGCGUUGCUAUGGCUGUGGUGUAGGCCGGUGGCUGCAGCUCCAAUUAGACCCCUAGCCUGGGAACCUCCAUAUGCCGCGGGUGUGGCCCUAAAAAGACAAAAAAAAUAAAAAAUAAAAAAUAUUCGGGCCUUCAAAGGGAUGGGUGCUUUUAUAUAAGUUCUCUAUCUGCCUGCGAUACCGAAGACCAGCCUGCAGGUGCUCAGAAAGAAGUAAGACCUCAAAUUACUUAUCAACAACUCCUGGUAAAAAGCCCAACCAGAGAAAUUAUAUUUAGAGAGGAGAUUCUGGUGACACUCUGUUGGGCGUUCUAAAUUCUAUGCCCUGUCAAGCUAAACCCUGGAAGCGCUGGUCCCUCAGGAGCUUGGCAGGGCUGUCUUCACUAAACUGCAGUCCAAUACUAUGCCCUCAGCUGUCAUUAAGAUUUUUUGUGAAAACCACUCCUGCAUUUGUUGUACACUUGUGGCUGGGGAAAUUGUCCACUUUGUCAUUCAAGGUCACAUGUGAAAAUGUUGUUCUGGGAGUUUUCUUGUGGAGAAGUGAGCUAGGGAUCUGGCGUUGUCACUACAACAGCUUGAGUUGCUGCCAUGGCAUGGGAUGGAUCCUUGGCCUGAGAACUUCUGCAUGCAUGCCGAGGGUGCGGCCCCCAAAAAUGUUGUUCUGUGAUUUUUUUCCUCUUUCCCUUUUUACCUUGGCUGACAGGAAACUCAGAGACAUGAUGAUUAAUCAUUGAAAUUAGAUUAGCCUGCAGAAUUAGCAUAAUUUUUUUUUUUUUAGGGCCAAACCAAAGGCCUAUGAUAGUUCCCAGGCUAGGGGUCGAACUGGAGCUACAGCUGCUAGAAUAUACCACAACCAUAGCAAUACUAGAUCCAAGCCAUGUCUGCAACCCACAUCACAACUCACAGCAAUGCUGGAUUCUUAACCCACUGAGUGAGGCCAGGGAUCAAACCCACAACCUCAUGGAUACAAGUAAGGUUUGUUACCAGUGAGCCAGAAUGAGAACUCCCCAAAUUUUUAAUCCGAAUACACUUUAGUAAGCUAACUAUACCUAUAUCGAUACUUUUAUCUAUGUUAUCUAUGUCCUUCUUGGUAAAGCAGUUCAGAUUAUUUUGGGGGGGAAAUAAGCAGUAGAUAAGUAAAAAUAAAUGAAUGAAAAAAGUGUGAUAUUUAUAUAAAGCCCCAGCCUUUACCUUAAAUGGAGGCUGAAAACCACAAAACAAAACUAAUCCCCAAAGCACUUCUAUAUGGCCUGGGAAUCAAAUGCACUCGAGUGCACACAGUUUUACACACCUGUCACAUGCCCUAGAAUAUCCGCAGACACACACUCACUCACCAACCUGCACCCCUGCCCCGUCUCCUACACCUGAUUUGGCAAAAUCCACCCCUCGGCAUGCAGAUGGGUGAGCAGACACCUUGCUCACAGAGCCGGGGUGGAAAUGCCCUGUUUAGCGCGCAUCCUGCUCGCUCUCUGCCCGUGAUGACUGCCAUCCUCCGGCUGAUAUUCAGACUCGGGGACCCGACUCCUCUCCCAGUCACGCAGUCUUAGGCGGGAAACACACACAAGCCUUUGUAAACCUGCUGGGUGCUUAUAACUCUGUGCGCUGUCAUUUCCUGUACCUCCACUCCAUCCUGGCCCUUGUGUGCUUAGAUGCCUGGAUCUACAAGACUGAGGGGAGAUGGAGGCAGAGGGGUUAAGACCCUUCCGUAGAACACCCAGCCAAGACCAGGGCUGUCUGAUUCCACAGCCUGCACCUCUCCCCACUGAGCUCCUGACUCAGACCCGGGGCCAACCUAAGGUGACCGGGAUGGCGUGUGACCCCAGGGAGAUUUGACGCCCCAGCCUGCACCUGCUAGAUCACAGCCCCCUGUUAAAUCUCUUCCUUGAUGGGCACCCCUCAAACCUGAGGACAGGCGUGAAAGGCAAAUGACAAAGGUGGCAAGUGAGAGAGCGAGGUACGAGGUCCCUCAUUUCGAGGGGAUCUUUUGAAUAAGCCCUAAGGCGAGUGUUCCAGCAAAGUCCAGCUCUCCCCAGUCAGCCAGGGCCCAUGGGUACCCAUCUAAGGCAGGUGUUCCCAGCCUCAGCACUAAUGAGACUGUGGACCUGGGCAUCUUUUCCUGCAGUAGGUGCUCCUGUGCAUUGCAGCAUCCCUGGCCUCUACCCACCAGAUGCCAGCAGGACCUGCCAUUAGCUGUGACAGCCACAAACAUGCCCAAACAUUGCCAAAUGCCCCCUGCGAGCAAAAUCACACUAGACUGAACACUGCUGGUCUGGGGCCUCUGGGGAACCACUACAGAACAGGGUUUGGAAAAAGCAGAGGCUAUAGGAGGUGGGUUAGGGGUGUAGGACUGCUGAGCCAAGGGAAGCCAGGACCAAAAGAGGUUUUCACCGACCACUGCCUGGCCCCCAGUCCAUGGGAUGAGCUUACAGUCCCCCGCCCUGGGGCUGCAGAGAGAGACAUAAAUGAAUGGUACAGACCCUCCCAAUUUUCUGGUGUGUGACAGUUUGCACCCCCAUGCUUUGAGAUUUGGGACAAGCAGACCAAUCUGGGCUGAAGUUUGCCUUCUUCCUCAGCUGAAGGGAGAACCAGCAGAGCUGAGGAGCGUGUCAAGGGGACAGCCGAGGUGCGAGUUCCAGCCCCCUCCCCACAAGGACCAACUGUUUCCCAUCUUAGAGGCUUCUCCUCCCAGGAGCACUCAAGGUUCUGGAUGCAGAUGACAUUGACCCAGGAGAAAAGACCCAAAAGACCUUCAGGCACACACGUCAUACGUCACAGAGGACAGCUGCGGAAAAACUGGAUAAUCUGGCUCUCUCAGGAUCUCAGAGCAUCCUGCCAUGCCCAGAGUGUGUGGGCCUUAACAAGUGAGGCUGGGAGGUGUGCCUGAUGGAGAAAAGCUAGCAUCCUAUGCCCCCUCCCGCAGCAAGGCCCCCACCCCCUGGAAGCUGGCCUGGAGGUCAAGGCACUCAGGGGUCUGCGGGGAUUGGGUCCUGGGCAGCUACAUGGGCUUGUGGGCAGAACCAGGACUUAAGCAGCCCCAGCUCCUCCUGCGAAGCCUGAUCCUCACCCCUUCUACCCCCAGAUGCAGACCUCAGGAUUGAAAAAAAACAAGAUCAAUUUUGAAAAGUCACACCAGAGUCUUGAAACCCACUGGCUUUGGAGAGAUCCUGCCACCUUGCUCUCUGUCUCCUUGCUCCGGGGGUGCGGUCCUCAGCCCCACAGCAGCAGGGAUUCCCCGGAGCUGGUUAGACAUGCAGAUUCCUGGGCCCCAUCCAGAGCAUCUGAAGCCCAGUCUGCAUAUUAGCAAACUCCUUGGGUGAUCUGGGGCCCAGUAAUAUCUGAGGGGUGCUGCCUCCCCCAGAGCAGCCGCUCACAGUAAAAGUGCCCUUUAAUUUCACAGCCCCUCCUCCUGUGAUCCCACAUAUCCACCCUCAUCUUAAGGAGAUGCCACACACCCUCGCAGCCUUGCUCCCACAGUCCCGUGUACCCAACAGCCAAGAAGACCUCUGACUUGCCCGCCCCUCUCCAUCUCUCCUACUAGAAUUGCUUUGAAUUACACCUGUUCUAUCCUCAGCACCUCAGGGCUUCAAUAGCACUUCAUUGGCUUAAUGACAAUGAGUCACUGGCUGUUUUUGGGCUUAAUUGUGGCUGUUUCAAUAAACCCAAGACCUUUAUUGAGGCUUUUAUCUGUAGGGGUAGCAGCAAGGACUGGUCCCGGGGCACAGAGCCGGCAGGGAAGUCGGCUGAGCUGAGAGAGUGGGUGGCCCUUGUCUCCUGACAUUUGCUCCUGG
rnacentral:lncRNA from 1 species